rnacentral:ncRNA from 1 species
CCCUUUGUACACACCGCCCGUCGCUCCUACCGAUUGAAAGAUAUGAUGAAUUGUUUGGACAAGAAAAUAGAAAUUUUAUUUUUAUUUUUUUUGGAAGGACCGUAAAUCCUAUCUUUUAAAGGAAGGAGAAGUCGUAACAAGGUUUCCGUAGGUGAACCUGCGGAAGGAUCAUUU